GUGGGGAAUAUUGGACAAUGGGCGCAAGCCUGAUCCAGCCAUGCCGCGUGAGUGAUGAAGGCCUUAGGGUUGUAAAGCUCUUUCAGUGGGGACGAUAAUGACGGUACCCACAGAAGAAGCCCCGGCUAACUUCGUGCCAGCAGCCGCGGUAAUACGAAGGGGGCUAGCGUUGUUCGGAUUUACUGGGCGUAAAGCGCACGUAGGCGGAUCGUUAAGUCGGGGGUGAAAUCCUGGAGCUAAACUCCAGAACUGCCUUCGAUACUGGCGAUCUUGAGUCCGGAAGAGGUGAGUGGAACUCCUAGUGUAGAGGUGGAAUUCGUAGAUAUUAGGAAGAACACCAGUGGCGAAGGCGGCUCACUGGUCCGGUACUGACGCUGAGGUGCGAAAGCGUGGGGAGCAAACAGGAUUAGAAACCCUGGUAGUCC
rnacentral:rRNA from 1 species